UACGUAGGUGGCAAGCGUUGUCCGGAUUUACUGGGCGUAAAGAGCGCGCAGGCGGUCGUUCAAGUCGCGUGUGAAAGCCCCCGGCUCAACUGGGGAGGGUCACGCGAUACUGAUCGACUCGAAGGCAGGGGAGGGUAGUGGAAUUCCCGGUGUAGUGGUGAAAUGCGUAGAUAUCAGGAAGAACACCAAUGGCGAAAGCAGCUUUCUGGGACGGUACUGACGCUGAGACGCGAAAGCGUGGGGAGCGAACAGG
rnacentral:rRNA from 1 species